AUGUGACACGGAUACCGCCCACUGUGACGUCUAUAUAUGGAGUCACGGGUGACGCGGUAAUUGUAUACCGGCUUCAAGAAGCGCUGCCACUAGCGUGAAACAGACUGUUCCGGUCCACAUCCCCCGCCUCCCUCUUUACACCCGCUCCUGAUGCCUGGAAUGGUGAAAUAAAGCUCCGGUACCAUACAGAGGAAGAGGAAAGGAAGGGACAACACAUCAGCCGAGUCCUACAAGAGAAAGAUCAUUGAGGCCUGCGAGAACCUUCAAGCUUCAGAUGAAGAGGAGGAGAUGGAGCAGGCCCAAGUGGAGCAGGUCCAAGUACAGUCCAUGGAAGAUCUGCUGCAGGACCCAGAGGUCAAGGAAAUCCUAGACACACCGGCCAAUCCAGUCUACGACAUGUUCUUGGAAGGGUGCUAUGAGAAGCCACAGGAGCUGACAGGCAGUAGAGAAGAGGAUCCGCCCGACCGGAGUGGCAAAAGACAGACAACAGGCAUGUGAGAAGUGGGACUUCAGGAGGCUGCAGCGCGAGCUGCGGUCACUGCAAGACCUGCUCCAGUGCAGCUGGAACAUCAGGGAGGAGCUGGAGGAGACCAAAAAGAGCUUGAAAAGGCACUUUGUGGAGGAAUCCAAGCAAAUUGUUUUUCGUUCCAAGGUGGAGAACCACGAGAAGGGGGAGAAGUGCAACUCUUUCUUUUUCAAGAAGCUCCAUGCUGGUCACACGCCCCUGACUUAACUACGAGAUGAGACCGGACACAUGAGGAGGGGCAAGGAGGAGGUGAUGGGGGUCAUCUCCGACUUCUACGGCAACCUCUACGCCCCAAAGUCAGAAUGGAGAGAUCAGAGGGAUCACCGCACCAGAAUCAGAUCGCUACAAGGUCAAGUGCUCGCUCUACAUGGACGACGUGACCGUCUUCUGCACUGACCAGCGUUCGGUGACUGCAAUCGUCCAGACCUGCGAGGACUUUGGCAAAGCUUCGGGGGCAAAAGUCAACUGCAGGAAGUCAGAAGCUAUGCUCUUCAGAGAGUGGCACCUGACUUCUUUCGCCCCCUUACCUUUUACUGUUAAGCCAGACUUCAUUCAAUUCCUGGGAGUCUGGUUCAGGAAGGAAGGAGUGGCCCUUAAGUCUUGGCAAGACCGAAUGGCAAAGAUGAAUUCCAAGAUUGGAAAGCUUUCUAUGGAGGGUAAAACACUGGUCCUGCGGAGUGAAGUUUCGCCUGUGCUCCAGUAUACCGCACAGGCCUGGCCUCCACAUACCACCGUUUGCAAGGCCAUCACCUGGACAGUGUUUCAUUUCAUCUGGGGCAAAAUGGACAGAGUCAAGAGGACUGUGAUGUAUAAGGAGCCCCGCAAGGGUGGGAAAGAAAUCCCCGAUAUCCCCACUCUGCUGAGGGCCUCCUUUGCAUGUGUCAGCGUGCAGCAGACUGUUGUUAAAAAAAGACUGUCUCAGCGGGCAGGUCCAUGUCUCGCUUGUUCCUCAUGCCCCUCUGGAGACAGCUGGAUUGGGACAGGUGGGAGGGACUAACACCUCACCUGUGGAAGCCAAAGUCAAUCUACAAGCUAAUCCGAGGUAAAGACUUGUUGGAGCUGGUUCCGGGGCUCCCCUCAGCCACUGCAGAGACAGUUUGGACUAAUGGGGCUUACGAAUGGACACAAGGACUUGUCAUGGAUGGCCAUUAAGGGAGGAUUGUCUCUCAGGUCAUUCAUGCAUGCCCGGGACCUGUGCAGAAUGCGGUACUGCCCCCGGUGCCCCUUUGUGGAGGAAACCUCUUUGCACGUGUUUUGGCAGUGCCCCUUUGCACAGGCUCUGUUAGACGCCCUGGAACACGAACUCAGAGACUCUGUACCCAGGAACUGCCUAUCGUACCUUUCGGUGCUUUAAGGUCUGUUCCCUGGGACCCAUGACGUGGAGGCCAUCCAGGAGGCCUGGCGCCUUAUGAACUGUUUUAAGGACUGUGUGGCUUGCCAGGAACCGCCUCAUGAUGAACAGGGAGAACAUGUCCGUCUGGGACUGCCACAGGUUCAUCAGGAGCCUGCUCAAAGACUAUUCCAUCUUGGACAGCCCGGCCGUCGAUGAAGAAGUAGACUGAAGACCCCUCUCCUUCCCCCAUGUCCCCCUGAAGUUAUAGCACAGUUUUGGCCCUGUGAUCCGCCCCCUCCCUACCCCCACACAGUCCCCCAUGCCCCUACCCCGAUCACAGAUUGUAUUUUGGGUUUUCGAUUUCUCGUGCUUUUCUCUUACAGGAUGAGUGGUGUGUUAGAGUAGCAUGCCGUGUGAUGUAUAGCUUAGGGAGCCUUUGCUGUGUAUCGUACUGUCCUGCUUUGUGUUAUCGUAAUUUAU